GGACGUCGACCGGCGCACGGGUGAGUAUCGCGUAUCCAACCUUCCCUCCACUCGGGGAUACCCCGUUGAAAGACGGCCUAAUACCCGAUGUUGUCCACAUAUGGCAUCUGACGUGGACCAAAGAUUCAUCGGUGGAGGAUGGGGAUGCGUCUGAUUAGCUUGUUGGUGCGGGUAACGGCCCACCAAGGCGACGAUCAGUAGGGGUUCUGAGAGGAAGGUCCCCCACAUUGGAACUGAGACACGGUCCAAACUCCUACGGGAGGCAGCAGUGAGGAAUAUUGGUCAAUGGACGUAAGUCUGAACCAGCCAAGUAGCGUGCAGGAUUGACGGCCCUAUGGGUUGUAAACUGCUUUUGUUGGGGAGUAAAGUGGGGCACGUGUGCCCCUUUGCAUUUACCCUUCGAAUAAGGACCGGCUAAUUCCGUGCCAGCAGCCGCGGUAAUACGGAAGGUCCAGGCGUUAUCCGGAUUUAUUGGGUUUAAAGGGAGUGUAGGCGGUCUGUUAAGCGUGUUGUGAAAUUUAGGUGCUCAACAUCUACCUUGCAGCGCGAACUGGCGGACUUGAGUGCACGCAACGUAUGCGGAAUUCAUGGUGUAGCGGUGAAAUGCUUAGAUAUCAUGACGAACUCCGANUGCGAAGGCAGCGUACGGGAGUGUUACUGACGCUUAAGCUCGAAGGUGCGGGUAUCGAACAGGAUNAGAUACCCUGGUAGUCCGCACGGUAAACGAUGGAUGCCCGCUGUUAGCGCCUGGCGNUAGCGGCUAAGCGAAAGCAUUAAGCAUCCCACCUNGGGAGUACGCCGGCAACGGUGAAACUCAAAGGAAUUGACGGGGGCCCGCACAAGCGGAGGAACAUGUGGUUAAUUCGAUGAUACGCGAGGAACCUUACCCGGGCUUGAAUUGCAGACGCAGGAUACAGAGAUGUUGACUCCCUUCGGGGCGUCUGUGAAGGUGCUGCAUGGUUGUCGUCAGCUCGUGCCGUGAGGUGUCGGCUUAAGUGCCAUAACGAGCGCAACCCCUUUCCUUAGUUGCCAUCAGGUCAUGCUGGGCACUCUGGGGACACUGCCACCGCAAGGUGUGAGGAAGGUGGGGAUGACGUCAAAUCAGCACGGCCCUUACGUCCGGGGCUACACACGUGUUACAAUGGCCGGUACAGAGGGACGGUGCGAUGCAAAUCGCAUCCAAUCUUGAAAGCCGGUCCCAGUUCGGACUGAGGUCUGCAACCCGACCUCACGAAGCUGGAUUCGCUAGUAAUCGCGCAUCAGCCAUGGCGCGGUGAAUACGUUCCCGGGCCUUGUACACACCGCCCGUCAAGCCAUGAAAGCCGGGGGUGCCUGAAGUUCGUAACCGCGAG
rnacentral:rRNA from 1 species